rnacentral:rRNA from 1 species
CGCGUUUUAAGCAUGCAAGUCGAACGAGAAGUUUCCUUCGGGGAAUGGACAGUGGCGAACUGGUGAGUAACACGUGGUUAACCUGCCCUUGAGAAGAGAAUAGCAUCUGGAAACAGGUGGUAAUACUCUAUGGUCUUCUUUUACAUAAGUAAUUUAAGUAAAGCCCCGGCGCUCAAGGAUGGGACUGCGACGCAUUAGCUUGUUGGUGGGGUAAUGGCCUACCAAGGCGACGAUGCGUACCGGCCUGAGAGGGUGAUCGGCCACAUUGGGACUGAGAUACGGCCCAGACUCCUACGGGAGGCAGCAGCUAAGAAUAUUCCGCAAUGGACGCAAGUCUGACGGAGCGACGCCGCGUGAAGGAUGAAGGCCCUCGGGUUGUAAACUUCUUUUAUAUGUGACGAAUGACUGACGGUAGCAUAUGAAUAAGCCUCGGCUAAUUCCGUGCCAGCAGCCGCGGUAAUACGGAAGAGGCAAACGUUACUCGGAUUCACUGGGCGUAAAGGGUGAGUAGGCGGAAGCGUAAGUUUGAGGUGAAAGACUGGAGCUCAACUCCAGGCCCGCCUCAGAUACUGCGUUUCUCGAGCAAGAUAGAGGAUAAUGGAAUUCCUGGUGUAAGGGUGGAAUCUGUAGAUAUCAGGAAGAACACCGAUGGCGAAGGCAAUUAUCUGGGUCUUAGCUGACGCUGAAUCACGAAAGCUAGGGGAGCGAACGGGAUUAGAUACCCCGGUAGUCCUAGCCGUAAACGUUGCACACUAGGUGUUUGUAGUUCGCUACAAGUGUCGUAGCCAACGUGUUAAGUGUGCCGCCUGGGGAGUAUGCUCGCAAGGGUGAAACUCAAAGGAAUUGACGGGGGCCCGCACAAGCGGUGGAGCAUGUGGUUUAAUUCGAUGAUACGCGAAGAACCUUACCUGGGCUUGAAAUGGAAGCGGAAUGGUGCAGAGAUGUAUCAGCCCGCAAGGGUCGCUUUCACAGGUGCUGCAUGGSCUGUCGUCAGCUCGUGUCGUGAGAUGUUGGGUUAAGUCCCGCAACGAGCGCAACCCCUACUUGCUGUUGCCAUCAUUUAGUUGGGCACUCUGCAAGAACCGCCUGCGACAAGCAGGAGGAAGGUGGGGAUGAUGUCAAGUCCUCAUGGCCCUUAUGUCCAGGGCUACACACGUGCUACAAUGGCUGGUACAAAGAGUCGCGAUACCGCGAGGUGGAGCUAAUCUCAAAAAGCCAGCCCCAGUUCGAAUCGGAGUCUGAAACUCGACUCCGUGAAGUCGGAAUCGCUAGUAAUCGCAGAUCAGCAUGCUGCGGUGAAUACGUCCCGGC